CACGUCUCAGGGGGAAAAGCGUAACCCAAGGUCACGCGGCUUGUUGGAGCCAGACCCGGACCUUGGACUCCAUUCCAAGGCUCCGAUCCUCAAGUCAACGAGCUGUAGGACGGUCUCGCCUCCUGGUCGCCUGAGCUCACCAGAAAUUCACGUUGGCGUUGUAGGUGGCAUGCCCAGCCACUGCAGAGCAUGGAUGUUUGACAUCACAGAGUGUGACCUGCCGGGUUACCCUUAUUCCAUCUGUAAGAAGAGUAUUUAUCCAGUACCUACUACGUGCCAACCAGAGAGGAGAACAAAUAGGAAACAGCCCGGGCCUCAUGGAGUUCACCCUCUAGUCAGAGAGGAAGAUUCACAACCAGCAAACACUUUGUUGAUUAUGAGGCGUCACAGAGCAUGGAGCUACGAGCAACAGAGGAUGGUCCGCGGGGGGUGGGGGAGCGCCGAGAGAGAGGCAGGUGCCUUCUGAGGCAGAUUGAGUUACACCAUGUAAAAUGUCAAAGGGGCAAUAUGCAGGCUUGAUUUGUCCCUGUACCCUUUGAGCGCAACAGGAGGGCACAAGAUGAAGGCAAGCUCCAGCAUCAUUGUGGAUAUCAGAAGAGUGAAGCCUACAGGGUCUGGGAUCAGACUACUUUGGUUUCUGCUGGGUCUCUCCAUCUGCCAGCUAUCAGGUCCCUUAACCUGAGCCUCAGCUUUGCCAUCUGUAAAGUGGGGACUUCACCUGGCUAGUAAGAGGUGACUUCUGGGUUAGGACCCAGGUCUUUGUGGCUCGAAGAUGCCUGCCCUGUAUCAUUUUACCCUUUCACCUUUUCCACAUCUCCCCUGUCUGGAUUUGCACACCCAUGCUUUCAGUCGGGAGAACAUUUCUUUAAAGCAAACAUUUAAAUUUUACUUUUUUAUCCAUACAAAAAAAAUCUCAGGUUUUCUAAGCAAAUG